UCGAGGAUCAUUCGCAAUGCGCGAAAGCGUGACGAUGCGACGCUGCGUGGAGGAUGAAGGCCUUCGGGUCGUAAACUCCUGUCGUUUGGGAACAAGGAACCGGCAGUAAUACUGUCGGAACUUGAUAGUACCGAAAGAGGAAGCCACGGCUAACUCUGUGCCAGCAGCCGCGGUAAUACAGAGGUGGCGAGCGUUGUUCGGAUUUACUGGGCGUAAAGGGUGCGUAGGCGGUUCUGUGUGUCGGGUGUGAAAUCCCACUGCUCAACGGUGGAAUGGCACUCGAAACUGCAGAACUAGAGUGCAGGAGAGGAGAGCGGAAUUCCUGGUGUAGCGGUGGAAUGCGUUGAUAUCAGGAAGAACACCGGUGGCGUAGGCGGCUCUCUGGAAUGCAACUGACGCUGAGGCACGAAAGCUGGGGGAGCAAACAGG
rnacentral:rRNA from 1 species